CCAUGAAGGACAGAGAGAACUCCAUAGAUGAGGGAAUAAAGGCAUUUCUGCUGAGGUGGGAAAGGUAGUUUCCAUAGAAUCAGGGAAAGUUCCUUUUUUUUUUUAGAACUUCUCAUGGCCCCAUGAGAAGGGGAGGGGAAUUCCUCUUUGUUGAGUGCUGCAAUUGUACAGGCACUAGACACAUACAUGUGUUUUCUCAUUUAAUCCCCACAGCAUCCCAGCACAGUGGGCAUUUUAUCCCCAUUUUAUAGAUGGGAAAACUGAAGCUCAGAGAGACUGUAAGACUUGCCUGAGGUCAAACAGCUAGCCACUGGUGACACUCAGAAAAAAAACACAGUUGAGCCCCUCUCAGUGUUUAGUCUCAGGAACUCCUUGAAUCACACCUUCCUCUUAGCCAUCAUUAAGGCCUAACCUGUUCUGAAAGAGUUUCCUGACCUCCUGAGUCAGAAAUGACAUUUCUGGUCCCGAAUUCACAGCAUUCUGAUUUUCUAUUACCCACAUGACACCAAUUGUGCCCUGCCUUAGGUUGUUAUUUCUCAUGGAAACGUGCACCUCAGUGCUUCCGAAUUGGUAGGGUCAGCCGCGGAUGGCAGGAAUGAUUUUAAAACCUGAGAAAAUGCACAUACAUGCACUUAAAUAUUUAUAUUUAUAAAACUGCCCUGUCACUCACUUCACCUCACUUUCUCCCACAGUCUAAUACAUAUAGAGGGGGUGAUAGCUGUCUAAACCCUGAAGGCACCAGCAAUGAGCACUUAAACACAGUCCAAAACCACCCCUACUCAGGUGAGAACAAGUAA
rnacentral:lncRNA from 10 species